AUCACUACUCAGUCUUUUGGCUAAGAUCAAGUAUAGUUUCUGUUCUUAUCAGUUUAAUAUCUGAAUCUUCUAUCAGAGGACAAUAUGAUAGUUUCUGAAAUUGGGAAUUGUU
ensembl:snRNA U2 U2 spliceosomal RNA